rnacentral:lncRNA from 1 species
CCAAAAAGAAAGAAGCCCAAGGGGAAGAAGGCGGCUCCCGCCCCUGCUGUCAAGAAGAAGCAGAAAGCCAAGAAAGUGGUGAAUCCCCUGUUUAAGAAAAGGCAGAAUUUUGGCAUGGGACAGGACAUCCAGCCCAAAAGGGACCUCACCGGCUUUGUGAAAUGGCCCCACUGUAUCAGGCUGCAGUGGCAGAGAGCCAUCCUCUAUAAGAGGCUGAAAGUGCCUCCUGUGAUGAACCUGUUCACCCAAGCCCUGGACCGCCAUACAGCUACUCAGCUGCUUAAGCUGGCCCACAAGUACAGACCAGAGACAAAGCAAGAGAAGAAGCAGAGGCUGUUGGCUCUGGGCUGAGAAGACAGCUGCCAGCAAAGGGGAUGUCCCCACUAAGAGACCACCAGUCCUUCAAUGUCCUUCAAGCAGGAGUUAACAACGUCACCACCUUGGUGGAGAACAAAAAGUCUCAGCUGGUGAUCACUGCACACGACAUGGAUCCCAUCGAGCUGUUGUCUUCCUGCCUGCCCUGUGUCGUAAAAUGGGGGUCCCUUACUGCACUAUCAAGGGGAAGGCAAGACUGGGACGUCUAGUCUACAGGAAGACCUGCACCACUGUUGCCUUCGCAUGGGUUAACUCGGAAGACAAAGGAGCUUUGGCUAAGCUGGUGGAAGCUAUCAGGACCAAUUACAAAGACAGACACGACGAGAUCUGCUGUCACUGGGGAGGCAAUGUCCUGGCUUCCAAGUCUAUGGCCCGCAUUACCAAUCUCAAAAAGGCAAAGGCUAAAGAACUUGCCACCAAGCUGG